ensembl:lncRNA
GGUAAAGCGGAAUGAAGAGCUUUCAGCGUCCUGCCCAGAGUGACAGAGCUGAGAUUCAAACCCAUGGAGUCUGGCGCGGGAGUCAGGCUCUUGCCCUCCACGCUCUGCUGCCCUGCAUUUCAGCUGCCAUGUGGUGGAUGAGUCGGUGCGGGGCAAGACAAGAAACCGAUUCAGAGCGGGGUAGUCCCAGCCGAGACCAGUCAGAGCCAGGAUUGCAACGUGGCAUGCCCUCCGGCUCCCCAUCUCUUGAUCAUGGCGCCACAAGCAGCCGUGUGUCUCCUGCUUAGCCACUGACUCAUUCAUCCACCCACCCAGCCUGAAUAACUUCUUGGCAGAGCGUCAUUCUGAGAUUGUCCAAGGAGAGGGAAGACAUGGAGAGACGGUGACGAUCUGCGGAAAGCAAGCCCACACCAUCCAAAACCUGAAAAACAGCUUCUAAUAAUAGUUUUGAGUCAGCCAACCCCCUGACUUAGCCUGAUAAGACAACAGAGGCCAAGAGAGAAGUCCCCCAUGGAGGCAUGAGACCAGUGAAGAGAACCAGGACGGCCCCAGGCCUUCUGAAGCCCACCUCAGUGCUUCUCCAAUGGAAAUAAAAUGCAGUGACAGUUCUUGGGAAAACAUCAUGGGAAUAUGGUUUGAGAAAAUAUCCCCUCCCACAUACCAAAACAGUUCCUGUGUGAUUACAGUGUUCGGAGUCCUUUAUUCCCUACUUCUCUUCUCCAUCCACUGAUGGAGUCACUUUGAGCUGUUUGGUGUACUUAGCACCGAAUGUGAAUGCUGCUGCUUGCUGUAGAGCAAAGUUGCAAUGAAAAUGUUGCUGGAAGCUUUUUCACAGAUCGAACCACGCAGUGUGUACAGCUGCUGAGCAAACAUCAGAAAGGGCGGGAGACAAGGGGUCUUUUAUCCUAACUUGCAGCUUUAAUACUGUCAGAAAAAUCUUCACAAUACAAUAAAAUUUGAUUCGUGGACUAGACAAGUCCAGGUGUGGAUCACAGCUUCACCCUGAACUAGCAGCAUAAACUCAAGCAAGGUACUUCUCCGUGCCUCUGUUUGCUCAUCCAGGAAAUGGGACCAGCCGUAGUACCUGCCUCAUCAGUACUACAUACCUGGCACAUGCUGAGCACCUAGUAAGUUGCAGCUGGUUACUAAUAGUAUUGGAGGGACUUCCCUGGUGGUCCAGCGGUGAAGACUGCACUCCCAAUGCAGGGGUCUGGAUUCCAUCCCUAGUCAGGCAGCUAGAUCUUGUGUUUCAGCUAACCAAAUUUAAAGAACAGUGUUGGGCCCAGCCCCCUUACCUUGAGGACAAGGUUGAGGUCCACGUUGCCUGUAGGUAAUGCUUGUUUAGGUCAGCAGCACUCAGUACUUCUGUGUUCAGGUACUCGUCCUGUGGGUAUACAGUCAUCCCCUCCUCCCCCACCUUGGUUUCACUUUCUAUGGUUUCAGUUACCUACAGUCAACUCCCAUCCAACAGCAUUAAAUGGAAAAUUCUGGAAAUAAUUUGCAAAUUUUAAGCUGUGAACUCAUUCUAGGUAGCACAGUGAAGUCUCUUGCCCUCCCACUCUUCGUCCAGUGUAGACGACCCUCCUGUUAGUAUAGGAAAAAGCAGUAUGGACAGGCUUCAGUACUAUCCAUGG